rnacentral:miRNA from 10 species
UAGGCUGACCAACCUUUAGGGUUUGCCUGGGACUGAGGGGGUGCCUGGGAUGGAACUCUCUGUUUUAAAACCAG